rnacentral:lncRNA from 1 species
GCCGGCCGUGGGGAGCGGACGCAGCGAUUUGCUCCCCUUCGCGCAGCAACCCCCACACCCAGCACCAGGAGCCUGUUCCUCUCACACCCUCACCUGGCUGAGCCGCAGUAGUUCUUCAGUGGCAAGCUUUAUGUCCUGACCCAGCUAAAGCUGCCAGUUGAAGAACUGUUGCCCUCUGCCCCUGGCUUCGAGGAGGAGGAGGAGCUGCUUUCCCCAUCAUCUGGAAGGCUUUCUGCCUCCGAGAUGUGGCACCAUAGUGCAGUGCCCUGUGGCUUCACCGCCCUACUUCCACCUCCGCCCAGCCUGUAAUGUUUAUAAAAGCAGCCUCAAGGACCAAGAACCAUCUGCGAAAGGACACACACAGGAAAUUCAUAAAAGAAAUCUGAAUGGAUAAAACCAUGAAAAAAAUGUAUGCUUCAUUAGUAAUUAAAGAAAGGCAAAUAGAGCUGAAAGCAUUUUUCCCUUAGCAAGCCAUGACAGAAAAAAAUAAGACCCAAUAUUGGCAAAGAGACUACUGAAAAAACAUUCCCAUACAU